rnacentral:rRNA from 1 species
AGCGAACGCUGGCGGCAGGCUUAACACAUGCAAGUCGAGCGGGCCCUCCGGGGUCAGCGGCUGACGGGUGAGUAACACGUGGGAACGUACCCUUUGGUUCGGAAUAACGCUGGGACACUAGCGCUAAUACCGGAUACGCCCCUUUGGGGAAAGGUAUGCUGCCGAAGGAUCGGCACGCGUUCGAUUAGCUAGUGGGUGGGGUAAGGGCCUACCAAGGCGACGCUCAGUAGCUGGUCUGAGAGGAAGAUCAGCCACACUGGGACUAAGACACGGCCCAGACUCCUACGGGAGGCAGCAGUGGGGAAUAUUGGACAAUGGGCGCAAGCCUGAUCGAGCCAUGCCGCGUGAGUGAUGAAGGCCGUAGGGUUGUAAAGCUCUUUUGUCCGGGACGAUAAUGACGGUACCGGAAGAAUAAGCCCCGGCUAACUUCGUG